AUUGAACGCUGGCGGCAUGCCUUACACAUGCAAGUCGAACGGCAGCAUGAUCUAGCUUGCUAGAUUGAUGGCGAGUGGCGAACGGGUGAGUAAUACAUCGGAACGUGCCCUGUAGUGGGGGAUAACUAGUCGAAAGAUUAGCUAAUACCGCAUACGACCUGAGGGUGAAAGUGGGGGACCGCAAGGCCUCAUGCUAUAGGAGCGGCCGAUGUCUGAUUAGCUAGUUGGUGGGGUAAAGGCCCACCAAGGCGACGAUCAGUAGCUGGUCUGAGAGGACGAUCAGCCACACUGGGACUGAGACACGGCCCAGACUCCUACGGGAGGCAGCAGUGGGGAAUUUUGGACAAUGGGCGAAAGCCUGAUCCAGCAAUGCCGCGUGUGUGAAGAAGGCCUUCGGGUUGUAAAGCACUUUUGUCCGGAAAGAAAUGGCUCUGGUUAAUACCUGGGGUCGAUGACGGUACCGGAAGAAUAAGGACCGGCUAACUACGUGCCAGCAGCCGCGGUAAUACGUAGGGUCCAAGCGUUAAUCGGAAUUACUGGGCGUAAAGCGUGCGCAGGCGGUUGUGCAAGACCGAUGUGAAAUCCCCGAGCUUAACUUGGGAAUUGCAUUGGUGACUGCACGGCUAGAGUGUGUCAGAGGGGGGUAGAAUUCCACGUGUAGCAGUGAAAUGCGUAGAGAUGUGGAGGAAUACCGAUGGCGAAGGCAGCCCCCUNNNAUAACACUGACGCUCAUGCACGAAAGCGUGGGGAGCAAACAGGAUUAGAUACCCUGGUAGUCCACGCCCU
rnacentral:rRNA from 1 species